rnacentral:rRNA from 1 species
UCGAGAAUCUUCGUCAAUGGGCGCAAGCCUGAACGAGCGACGCCGCGUGCGGGAUGUAGGCCUUCGGGUUGUAAACCGCUGUCAGUGGGGAGGAAGGCUCCGUGAAGAGCGGGGUUUGACCUAUCCGCAGAGGAAGUACGGGCUAAGUUCGUGCCAGCAGCCGCGGUAACACGAACCGUACAAACGUUAUUCGGAAUUACUGGGCUUAAAGGGUGCGUAGGCGGCUCAGAAAGUUGGGUGUGAAAUCCCUCGGCUCAACCGAGGAAUUGCGCUCAAAACUACUGAGCUUGAGGGAGACAGAGGUGAGUGGAACUUAGGGUGGAGCGGUGAAAUGCGUUGAUAUCCUAAGGAACACCAGUGGCGAAAGCGACUCACUGGGUCUCUACUGACGCUGAGGCACGAAAGCCAGGGGAGCGAACGG